rnacentral:rRNA from 1 species
UACGUAGGGGGCGAGCGUUGUCCGGAUUCAUUGGGCGUAAAGAGCUCGUAGGCGGUUCAGUAAGUCGGGUGUGAAAUCUCCGUGCUCAACACGGAGCGGCCACCUGAUACUGCUGUGACUCGAGUCCGGUAGGGGAGUGUGGAAUUCCCGGUGUAGAGGUGAAAUUCGUAGAUAUCGGGAGGAACACCGGUGGCGAAGGCGGCGAUCUGGGUCGAUACUGACGCUGAGGUGCGAAAGCGUGGGGAGCAAACAGG